rnacentral:rRNA from 1 species
AUGUACCCCAUGACACAGGUGGUGUCGCGGCGUUGUGCAGUCUUGGUUGCCCGGUGCCUUUCGAUUGCGUCGACGGCACAGUGUCGUGGUUUAGUCUCGGCUCACCGCUGCAGUUCGAGCGCCCGUGGUGCCCCUUGUUGUGAUGUUUUGGGUGUGCUCUGUGAAGUUCUAUGCCGGGUGAUGCCCUCCGAACUACACCUGUGGCACACAGGUGCCGUGGCGUCGUCUCGGCCCGGCGUGACCGUUCGAAUGUACCCCAUGACACAGGUGGUGUCGCGGCGUUGUGCAGUCUUGGUUGCCCGGUGUUUUUCGAUUGCGUCGAUGGUGCAGUGUCAUGGUUUAGUCUCGGCUCGCCGCUGCAGUUCGAGCGUCCGUGGUGCCCCUUGUUGUGUUGUGUCCACCCCCUCGCCAUGUGUUAUCUAUGUGUUGUUUUUCUUUAUUUCUCCUUCCCGUGCCCCUGUACUUCUGGUUCACUUGAACCCUAUCUUGUAUUAG